UAUUAGCACCGUUACCAUGUUGAGGAGUUUGACAUUAAUAUAAGCAAUUUGCUGUUAAAGUGGUACAGUUCUGUAUCAUUAUAUAAUAUAAUCUACAUUCAUUACCUACAUUUCAUUGUUGUAAUACAUUUUUGCUGAUUCUGCAGAGGGAUUCUGUCGAGUGUGAGGACGAUCCCUUGCCUCAAUUUCCUGUUAUGGUUGUCUGUGGCGAUAAAACGUUCUACAUUUCUUUUCCACAGGAAGCCAUAGAGCAGACUGCGUCUGGUGAAGGACAAGGCCCUUACAGUUCUGUGCGUCCUUUCCAAUUUGCCCAUGAUGACACUGAGGACCAGGCCAGUUAGGAUCCUCCAGAGAGCGACAGGGAUUC